GAUGAACGCUGGCGGAAUGCUUAACACAUGCAAGUCGAACGGAAUUUGGGUUUUUAACUUAGGUUUUGGUGGCGGACGGGUGAGUAACGCGUGAAGAACUCGCCUCACAGCUAGGGACAACAUUUGAAGACGAAUGCUAAUACCUAAUAUUAUAAUAAUAGGUCAUCCUAUAAUUAUGGAAGCUAUAAGCGCUGGGGGAUGGCUUUGCGUCCCAUUAGCUAGUUGGUGAGGUAACGGCUCACCAAGGCGAUGAUGGGUAGCCGGCCUGAGAGGGUGAUCGGCCACAAGGGACCUGGGACAGGGCCAGUACGCCUACGGGGGGAAGCGGUGGGAAAUAUGGGACAAUGGACCAAGAGUGUGAUCCAGCAAUUCUGUGUGCAAGAUGAAGUUUUUCGGAAUGUAAAGUGCUUUCAGUUGGGAAGGAAGAAAUGACGGUACCAACAGAAGAAGCAACGGCUAAAUACGUG
rnacentral:rRNA from 1 species